rnacentral:rRNA from 1 species
UACGUAGGGUGCAAGCGUUGUCCGGAAUUAUUGGGCGUAAAGAGCUCGUAGGCGGUUUGUCGCGUCUGCUGUGAAAACGCGAGGCUCAACCUCGCGCCUGCAGUGGGUACGGGCAGACUAGAGUGCGGUAGGGGAGAUUGGAAUUCCUGGUGUAGCGGUGGAAUGCGCAGAUAUCAGAAGGAACACCGAUGGCGAAGGCAGAUCUCUGGGCCGUAACUGACGCUGAGGAGCGAAAGCAUGGGGAGCGAACAGG